AUGUUUCAUGGUGGUGUAUGCUUAGUUGCAAAGGGUUGUGAUCUGCAAGUGCAAGGAAUGUUUCAGCCUUGCUUCUCAUCAUUCUCUGCUCAUCAUGGUUCGGUUUAUCCAGUAAGACUUGCAAAGCUGCUGAGUCACUUCAUGUUUUGUUUAUUUUUAUGCUGCGGUGACCCGUUCAGGAGCUUUCUUGGGGAUUCUGCUGCCGUGAGCUUUGCUGAUUUGUUGAGGCUUUGCAAACCUGAUCGUUUCAAAACCCAAUUGGGGACAUUAAACUUCCCUGCGCACUGGCAUAGGGAAAUCAGCUCUGCGGUUUGA
rnacentral:rRNA from 1 species